AUUUAUUUAGUAUAAAAGUAUAUUUGACUUCCAAUCAAAAGGUCUGGAUUCCAGAAUAAGUA
rnacentral:tRNA from 1 species